AUGCAGUAUAUUGUGCUGCUCAGCGUUCUGCUCAUCGGAGCAAACGCUCAACUUUCAGCGACAAGAGACCAAGAAUGCAAAGAAAACGAGAGCUUCCAGACGUGUGGCACGGCUUGCGAGCCGACUUGCGGGCUUCCGACUCCGACUUUUUGCACACUGCAAUGCGUCAUGGGAUGUCAGUGUAACAGUGGAUUCUUCCGCAGAACUUCGGAUAAUCGUUGUGUUGAGCAGAAGGACUGCAAUGUUGCGGCGAAUGAGACGAUUCCAAUUCCACCACCAGCCACCAACCUCACAUGCCCAGUCAACGAGGUAUCCAACGAGUGCCACAACCCAUGCACCGAGAAGAAGUGCCCACAAAAGAAUGCUCCACAGGUGAACUGCUUGAUGGCCUGCCAAGUCGGAUGCUCCUGCAUGGACGGAUUCGUCAGAAACAACCAAGGAGUGUGUGUCAAGGAGGCCGAGUGCCCAGCGAUUGGCUCUCAAACCUGCGGAACCAACGAGGAGCCCAACCAGUGUCACAACGCGUGCUUCGAGAAAAAGUGUCCGGUUAAGCCCCAGCCACUGGUAAACUGUAUGGAGAAAUGCGACAUCGGAUGUUCCUGCAAAAAGGGAUUCCUCCGGAACCGCCAGGGACAGUGUGUGAACCCUACCGAGUGUCCGGCUACUGGCUCCACACUGACUUGCUCCAAGAAUGAGGAGCCCAAUGACUGUCACAAUUCGUGCUCCGAGGCAAAAUGUCCUGUCAAUCCACAGCCAUUUGUUAGGUGCAUGAUGAGGCAAGACUGACACAAACCCAUGUGCCUUGGUACUCUGCAAGCCCGGUCACCGAUGCACCAUGUCAACUGGCCAGGCAACUUGUGUGCCAGGCAGCACUGACGAGAACCCAUGCAACUUGGUGGACUGCCGUACCGGUCACCAAUGCUCCAUGUCAACUGGCAAGCCGACUUGUGUACCAGUGAGAACCGCGCCAGAGACCCCACCAACCGGGAUCACGUGCGCCAACGUCAGAUGCGGAUUCAAGGGAGGUUGUGGAAUGGUUGAGCCCGUCGGAUGCGUGGGUUGCAAGCGUCAGCCACAGUGUUUGGAGGAGGACUAUUGCCGCGCCCAGAACUGUCCCUACAACGAGGAAUGCGUUUUAGUCCAGGUCACGUGUAUCCGGGCUCCAUGUAACCCAAUCCCAACAUGCCGUCCAAAGGACUUGAGACUCAUCAAGCCUCUUAUCCAGCCCCGUGAGCGCCGUCAGGCCGGGCCAAGCUGUAUGACGGCCCGUUGUGGGACCCCGGCCGGGUGCGCUAUGGUCAGGCCAAGUGGAUGUAUUGGUUCAACUGUGGAGAAGGGUUGUGAGCUCAUGCCGAUGUGUAUUCAUGUGAAUGCUUGCGCCUCCACGUCCUGCCUCGUCGGAUCCCAAUGUGUCCUCCACCAGGUUCAAUGCUUCACGCAACCAUGCGACCCGAUUGCACAAUGUGAAGCUCCUAUCAAAAAGCCAAUCAACAGACGGUGCAGAUCAAAUGAGAAGUUUGAACCCUGCAAGACUGUCUGCUCAGACACCAAGUGUAAUGAAGAGCCGAGAUUCUGCCCCCAGGUGUGCACCGGCGGCGGCUGUGUCUGCCAGGAGGGCUUUUUCCGCGACAAUUCCGGCAAAUGUGUCACCCAAAACGAUUGUGA
rnacentral:misc_RNA from 1 species